AGCGUAGACGGUUUGGCAAGUCUGAUGUGAAAGCCCGGGGCUCAACCCCGGGAUUGCAUUGGAAACUGUCAAUCUAGAGUGCAGGAGAGGUAAGUGGAAUUCCUAGUGUAGCGGUGAAAUGCGUAGAUAUUAGGAGGAACACCAGUGGCGAAGGCGGCUUACUGGACUGUAACUGACGUUGAGGCUCGAAAGCGUGGGGAGCAAACA
rnacentral:rRNA from 1 species